GCAGCACAGCAGAGUGGCGCAGCGGAAGCGUGCUGGGCCCAUAACCCAGAGGUCGAUGGAUCGAAACCAUCCUCUGCUAUUCUACUUUUUUAUAAUUCAUGUGAAAUGCUUACAUUUUUUCGUGUUUCUUUGUUUAAUUAACACAGACGCUUUGCUUUUGCUGGAAACAAUCAUUUCCAGCAAACGUUUAUAGGAACAAUGUUUUUUUAGUGAAAGCGUAACGUAACGCCGUGGUGUCUUCUGGGAGCUCCGCCAUUAAUUGCGGCGGUAUCUUUGUUAUUGUUCUACGAGCUCAUGGACGAAGGAAACUGCUCUUUGACCAACUGAGUACACGACCCCGGGGCCCGGAGGAUCACAACGGGCUCACCCUCCACUGCUUCCCGCCUGGAGACUGCGUCACAGUCUGCUCCAGACAUUUCCGCUCGGCCUGUGACCCAGACUGGCUCCCGUCACUUCACGUGGGUCAUGAAGUAACAAGAACCGCGGGUCUGACGUCGUCUGCGCAGUUGCUGACAGAACAGGAUCAAAGCUGGAUGUAAUUCGGGACCCGGGGCCCGUUUCAAGAAGGAGGUUUAACAAACUCUGAGUUUAAACCUGAACUCUGAGUUGACUUACACUGAGUUUGAAAACCUGGAGUUUUCGGUUUCAGAACAGCUGAGAAGAGUUGGUUUAAGCAACUCUUAGUUGAUUGACUCAGAGUUAAGCGCGAGUUGUAUAAACUAAAUCUCUUGGAAAUGUUAUACUUGUACCACCAGAUUGAAAAGACGGAUCUAGAAAUUGAAAUUCUCAAACAAAAGCUGGAGAUGAGUGUAUAGUUAAAAGUGAAUUGUAUGAAUUAUUGGAAGAAUCAUAAAAUGUAACAAUUGCCUUUGUAUUUGUAGGAAAUGAAACAAAAACAAAUAAAUUAUGAUUUGCAUCUA